GAUCAGAUUGCCAGGUCUUUCUCCUGUGGAGCCGCUGAGUGGGUUUGAACCACCAACUUUUGGUUAGCAUCCAAGAGCUUAACACCACCAGGGCUCCUUUACUCUGUGCUGCUUAGUUAUUUUAUACCUUAUUUUGGCCCCUUAAAAUCCUAAUUACUAUUUUCAUUUAAUGAAGAAACAGGCUCAGAGAGAAUUAUUUGCCCAGUAUCACAACUAGUAAGUGUUUGAGCUGGAAGUCAGACUCAAGUUUGAAUUCCAACAUCUCACAUGACUUCUCAGUUUUGAGGCGCUGUUCAAAUACCACCUGUUUCUAGAGCCAUCACAUGUUAGGUUAGUUCUAGACGAUGCUGUUACUCUUGACUUUGUAUCUACUUUCUAGCUGUAAGAGGUCCAGGCAUAAGCAAUACCUUGAUAAGAUGAAAACAUUUAAAAUUUAUUUUCUGUUUUUUGUCCCAAAUCAGUUAAGAAGACUUUGAUUUUCUGCUUUAGCCUCUGGCAAUAUGAUCAGAUCCUUUUUUCAGUGAAAGUGGUACCUCUUCUGUCUUUUCUUGAUGUGAGUCUGGGGCAUGUUUUGAAGGAGAUUGUCCUUCAGUUAACUCUUUCAGGAACUCAAAUACUGAAAUGGUACUGUUGGAGUGGGGUUUCACUUCGUGUAAAUGUUUAAAAGAACAACUUUAUCUGAUUAUAGAAGUAAUAUACUUUCAUACAUUCAGAUAGAAAUAUACUUCAGAAAGUGAAAGUGCCCUGUGAUCUUUCUUCUUUCUUUGCUGGUCUGAUUGGUGAUUGACACAUACAUUUUUCCAUGUACAUAUAUAUUCAUAGGUAUAGAGAUGUAUUUAUGUGUUUGUGUCUAUGAGGUAUCCCUCACUUUAUAAACCUAUUAACUUUUUGAAUUUCAGUAGUGAGUUUGGAUACUAAGGAAUUCAUCCUUGUUUUUUUUCCUUGAGUGGGUAUAGUGAGAGUUCAGAUAGUGAAGAAAUCCUGUAAUUUGGAAUCAUACUGUUACACGGUUUUCUUCUUUCAUCCACUAUAUCUUGCAGAGCAUUUUAGGGCAAUUUUUGCUAAAGAUUUGGAGAGAUUCCUCAAAUUGUCAAUGAGUGAAUGAUUCAAAACUCCAAGAGAGCAGUACGAUUUUUUAAAAUCUAAAACCUUUAUUUCUACUCAAAAUUUCAUUAAGAAAUAAAGUAGGCACUACCCAUGCUGAUUUCUUCAAAGUUCUGAACUGUUUCAAAGAUCUGAGCAGUCCAGUCAAGACUCCCCUGCCUUUGGCAGUACAGACAAAAAGCACUUUUUUCCAUAGUCCAGCACCAUGGACAAGUGCUGUUAACUGACUCUCCUUUGACCCUGUUAGUCCCAAGGAGAUUGAGCAACAGUGACGACAUUCAAGUACAAUUUUCCCUGUCUUAUUUGGGCACUAGGAGGGGACUGCUUUAACGGGCAGAUCAGAAUAUCAGACAUGCAAAAAAUUCUCAUGGUGGUACAAAAUAGAUUAAUGGAUAUCUCUUGCUUACAUAUAUUAUCUUUUGGGGAUGAAAAAGUUACCAAUUCUACAUGUUCUCAGAAGAAAGAAGCAUUGUCAGAUGUCACAUGACCCCCAAAGACCCUGGCCAGCCAAAGCAAGAUGGACCUGUGGUCUCUGACACAUUCUACCACCCAGUUCUUCCAGAGUUUCUGAACAGAACUUUUCAUAUAUUAUGGAUAUUAACCCCAUAUCUGUGAUCCAGUUGGUUUUCCCUGUCUUUGGAGUUGGUAUAUGAAUAUUUGUUGAUGAAAUGGAAUCAUUUGUCCUGAGUUUUCCACAGUUUGGAUUUUGGUGAUUGCAUCCACAUGGUGUAUUUAAAAUGUUUCUCUGAGCUCUAGUUCCCAUGACCCGGUGAUCGGAUCGAGAGGUCUGCUGAGAUUCAGGUUUGUGUAGGCACCACCAUUCAUAGGGGGUGGAGUGUUUUUCCAUCAAGCAGCACAUAAUGUCUGCUUAUCUCUCCUGUUACCAUGUUAGCAGCCUGGCUGUUCCAUUCUUAGAUUCUGUGAUUGUUGGUGGUAUUUUAAUUGUUAAUCCAUUUUAUCCUCAUUUAUUUGCUAGAAUAUUUCUGUAAAGAGAAACUUUAUUUUAUCCAUGUUACCUUUUAGUAUAGUCUGUAGAGGAAAUGUAGGACAAACUCUUACAGUUUAUUUACCAGUUUUUCAAAAAAGAGUUCCCUAGCUUCCACCAAGGUGCCUGAUUAAGGUUUUUUUGUUUUGUUUUGUUUUGUUUUUAAGUAUUCUGAACAUUCUUAAACAUAAAACAUUCGUUUGAUCUAUUACAGUUAUUAUUCUUACGGAUGCUAAAAUUGUCGUAUCUUUGGCCAGUGGGAACCUCUUUCAGAGGUCCUUUUGACAUAUCGUGGUAGUCUUUGAUAACCCCUGAUGAGAUGUUCCAGGCUCAUUUUGUAUAUUUCUUGCCCAUAUUUGGAAUCAUCCAUUUCUCCAAAAAUAUAUGGUUUCUUUUAGCAUGAAACGGUAUUUCAAGACCUUAAUCUGAGUUUUUGGAGUACUUCCUGCUACUGUUUUGGUCAUUGCUUCUAGGGGGAAAAUUGUGUGUGUGUGUGUGAAAAUACAGUACAUCAUUAGUUUAUAUGGUGCUUCCAAUUCAAAUUUAGAACUACAGGGUUUUUUCUAUCUUCUGUCUUACAGUUCUCUACUUUUCCAUAUUGAGAAUCCUGGUGUUCAAGGAAGCUGGUGAUGAUAAAAUUAAAAUGUCACAUAAUCACUCAUUUGCUUUAUCCUCCUUUAAACACAUGACAGUCUCAACAAUAUCAAUACCAUGCCAGCAAUAUGAUUACUGAAAGCAGUUAAAAACAAAUAUUUUUUAUAUGCUCUCCCCACUCUUCCCAUAGUUUGUGUGGUUGUACUGCAUCUGCCUUGUAAGAACAUGUAGUUAUUAUAUACUAUAAUCUCCCCCAUUUAACACUUAUUAUAGUCUUAACUCUUCAAUUAAUACAUAUUAAGUGUUCAUCAUUUCUUAUGCGAUUGCCUAUCUAGUCAUUUUUGUUGUCUUGCACAUUCCCUAGUAGAUUCUUCAGAAGGAGUUUAUGAGAAUAAUGCUCCCUGAGUUUUUGUACGCAGAUGGAAGUUUAUCUGCAAACUUUUACUUGAGAAACAGUUUGUAUAAAAUUCUUGGGUCCCCUUUUCUUUCUUUGAGUAACUUAAGUUUGCUAUACUGGGCAUAAAGCAUUGCCAUUAAAGUCUGAUUAAAAUAUGAUUUUCCCUUUGCCUGGAUGCUCACAGAAUUUUCCCCCCAGUAUUUUUCCAGUAAUGUUGCUAGAGUAUGUUUUUGUGUUGGUUAUUCUGAUUCAGUAUUCCCAACUAAUGUGGUGUGUUCUUUCAUUAGGUAGUGUCAGAUCUUUUUUUAUUCUUCAUUCCAGGAAUUAACGUUUUUAGUAUUUGUUCUAUCCUCUUGUUUGGGUUUUCUUCUUUGGGGGCUAUUACAUAUCUUCUGUAUUUUCAGUUUUGCUUGGAUUCUUCUAUUUCUUGCUGAUUUUUCCCUUUUUUAAAAAAUCUUCUCUUUCACUUCAGGCAUUAGCUCUUUUUGUUUAUUCACUGUUAAUGAUCUGCCUAGUUGAGUGUUUCCUGAAAUUAUUUUACAAAUAUUACAAAUUACUUCCUCAGUUUUAAUACCCAAUUUCUGAGUUUUUCUAAUUUCAACGUAUACUAUUGUUGUUAGGUGCUGUUGAGUUGUUCCAACUCAUAGCGACCCUAUGCACAACAGAACGAAACACUGCCUGGUCCUUUGCCAUCCUCACAAUCAUUGUUAUGUUUGAG